rnacentral:rRNA from 1 species
GAUAAACGCUGGCGGCGUGCAUUAUGCAUGCAAGUCGAACGGUGCCGCAAGGCACAGUGGCAAACGGGUGAGUAACACAUAAGUAACCUGUCCUCGAGUGGGGAAUAAUUCGCCGAAAGGCGGACUAAUACCGCAUAUGAUGGAUUUUCAUAAGAAAGGUCAUUAAAGCCGCAAGGCGCUUGAGGAGGGGCUUGUGUCCGAUUAGCUAGUUGGUGGGGUAAUGGCCUACCAAGGCUGUGAUCGGUAGCUGGUCUGAGAGGAUGGUCAGCCACACUGGGACUGAGACACGGCCCAGACUCCUACGGGAGGCAG